rnacentral:rRNA from 1 species
AGUGAACGCUGGCGGUAGGCCUAACACAUGCAAGUCGAACGGCAGCACAGUAAGAGCUUGCUCUUACGGGUGGCGAGUGGCGGACGGGUGAGGAAUACAUCGGAAUCUACUUUUUCGUGGGGGAUAACGUAGGGAAACUUACGCUAAUACCGCAUACGACCUACGGGUGAAAGCAGGGGAUCUUCUGACCUUGCGCGAUUGAAUGAGCCGCUGUCGGAUUAGCUAGUUGGCGGGGUAAAGGCCCACCAAGGCGACGAUCCGUAGCUGGUCUGAGAGGAUGAUCAGCCACACUGGAACUGAGACACGGUCCAGACUCCUACGGGAGGCAGCAGUGGGGAAUAUUGGACAAUGGGCGCAAGCCUGAUCCAGCGAUACCGCGUGGGUGAAGAAGGCCUUCGGGUUGUAAAGCCCUUUUGUUGGGAAAGAAAAGCAGCAGGUUAAUACCCAGCUGUUCUGACGGUACCCAAAGAAUAAGCACCGGCUAACUUCGUG